rnacentral:rRNA from 1 species
AUUGAACGCUGGCGGCAUGCCUUACACAUGCAAGUCGAACGGUAACGCGGGGCAACCUGGCGACGAGUGGCGAACGGGUGAGUAACGCAUCGGAACGUGCCCAGUAGUGGGAGAUAGCCCGGCGAAAGCCGGAUUAAUACCGCAUACGACCUAAGGGUGAAAGCGGGGGAUCGCAAGACCUCGCGCUAUUGGAGCGGCCGAUGUCAGAUUAGGUAGUUGGUGAGGUAAAGGCUCACCAAGCCUUCGAUCUGUAGCUGGUCUGAGAGGACGACCAGCCACACUGGGACUGAGACACGGCCCAGACUCCUACGGGAGGCAGCAGUGGGGAAUUUUGGACAAUGGGCGCAAGCCUGAUCCAGCCAUGCCGCGUGCGGGAAGAAGGCCUUCGGGUUGUAAACCGCUUUUGUCAGGGAAGAAACGCUCUGGGCUAAUACCCUAGGGUAAUGACGGUACCUGAAGAAUAAGCACCGGCUAACUACGUGCCAGCAGCCGCGGUAAUACGUAGGGUGCAAGCGUUAAUCGGAAUUACUGGGCGUAAAACGUGCGCAGGCGGUUAUGCAAGACAGAUGUGAAAUCCCCGGGCUUAACCUGGGAACUGCAUUUGUGACUGCAUAGCUAGAGUGCGGCAGAGGGGGAUGGAAUUCCGC